ACUGGUUCGUGUGGGCAWGUCGGAUCCCUGCKCUGGCAACGACGGCAUGCAGCACGCGCCUCCUCAGUUGGUGUUGGUUCAAGCGCGAUUCUUCCUUGGCCGCUAUUGGUUUUCUGUGUUGCAUACCCGUUGGAAGGUGCCUGUUGGCCUAAACGUCCAAUUUCCGUCAUGCACUGUGCCCGUAUUGGGUCGCGGUGUGUGGCGGACCACNAAGACCCGUCGGGUUCCGCGUGUAGACGUUGGCCCCCGAUGGNGUGCUCGGUCUCUCGGAUGCGGAAAAUCAUAUUUGGCCCAAAAUAAACGUUUCCCGCUUUCUGCGAACGACAACCUACUCCGUCUCGAUNGGGCCCUUGCGUCUCCCGUCNUGNGGUUUCGGCGUCGGUAAGAA
rnacentral:misc_RNA from 1 species